rnacentral:rRNA from 1 species
UGGGGAAUAUUGCACAAUGGGCGCAAGCCUGAUGCAGCGACGCCGCGUGAGGGAUGGAGGCCUUCGGGUUGUAAACCUCUUUCGCCAGUGAAGCAGGCCAUCUUCUUUGUGGGGUGGUUGACGGUAGCUGGAUAAGAAGCGCCGGCUAACUACGUGCCAGCAGCCGCGGUAAUACGUAGGGCGCGAGCGUUGUCCGGAAUUAUUGGGCGUAAAGAGCUCGUAGGCGGCUGGUCGCGUCUGUCGUGAAAUCCCCUGGCUUAACUGGGGGCUUGCGGUGGGUACGGGCCGACUUGAGUGCGGUAGGGGAGACUGGAAUUCCUGGUGUAGCGGUGGAAUGCGCAGAUAUCAGGAGGAACACCGGUGGCGAAGGCGGGUCUCUGGGCCGUUACUGACGCUGAGGAGCGAAAGCGUGGGGAGCGAACAGG